CAGUAAUUCUGGAGGCAAGUGCAGGAUUCUGCAUUUUCACUAGCUUUCCAGAAGAGACAUUGAUAGUGAAACUCUGUUUUAAAGAUGAGACGAUGGAAGCUCAAGUAACCUGCCCAAGGUCACACAAUUGGGCUCACUUUCUUCCACUGGAAUGAGAGGUCUUCAAGAGCAGAGACCAAGUCUCGUGAACCUCUGUUUCCACCGCCCAGCAUCUAGCAGAGGUCAACACACAUGCGUGGAAGAAAUCAAUCAAUCAAUCAAUCACCAAAGUCGGUUUUGCAGACCGUUGUUCCAUUUUUCUAAUGCUGCAUAACAAACCACCACAGUAUUUAGUGACUUAAGAUAACACCAUUUACUUUGUGCAUGAAUCUACAGUUUGAGCAGGGCUUGGUGGGGACAGUCUGGCUAUGUGCCCCUUGGUGUCACCUGGGGCUGCUAGAAGGCCAGGGGCUGGAGACGGCUAAAAGGCCCCUCACACGCGUGUAUGGCCCUGGGUUCAGAAGACUCUGGCAGCUGUGGGCUGAACAGCUGGGGCUCCUUGGGCAUCUCUGUCUCUGUGUGGUCUCUCU
rnacentral:lncRNA from 1 species